rnacentral:tRNA from 1 species
GAGGGUAUAGCUCAGUGGUAGAGUACAUGAUGCACAAGGUCCGGGGUUCAAUCCCCAGUACCUCCA